rnacentral:lncRNA from 1 species
UUUUUUUUCCUUCUCAAAGUUCGUAAAAUACAAAAAAAAUUUAGGAUGGCAAACAAGAAUUUUUCUUACACCCAAACCUAUACCUGACAAUAGAAUUAGAAUAGAUAUUUUUUAUUUCCUACUCAUAUGAGCUCAUAUUCUUACUUUUCCAUCAAUUUCUAAUUCUGAUCUUUCCCUCGAUUUUGUAUUGAGAAAUUCUUUAUAUACCAUACCCGGUGUAGAAAAAAUACAUCACUCCACCUGAUUGGGCCACAUAGUCAUCAUUUUUUAAUAUGCAUUUAAUGCCUACGGUUCCAUUUUAUCAUUUAAAAUUUUGAAUAAUAAAAAUUUUUCUCUUUCUUUAAAACAAUUAUGAUAUCCUAUGAUCACAUUAUGACAUCCAGCAAUCAAAUUAUGAUUUUCUGCACAGAAAGUCAUAAUUUGGCCACAGAAUAUUAUAAGAAAGGGAGAUGCAUUUUUAUCAAUUAAAAAUUUUAUAAAUUUUUAAUAAUGAAAAUAUCCAUCCCUCUUUAUGAUUUUUGAAAGAAAAAUUAUGACAUCCUAUGUAGGAAGUUAUAAUUUGACUGUAGGAUAUCAUAAUAUGACCAUAGGAUGUCAUAAUCUUUUCAGAAGAGGAGAGACAUUUUUAUCAUUUAAAAUUUUAAACGAAAAAUCGAAACUACGGGCAUUAAAUGUGUGUUGGAAAGUAUUAAAAAUUUUUAAUGAUGAAAAUAUCUUUCUUUUCUUAUGAUUUCUGAAAGAAAAAUUAUAACAUCUUAUAUAAGAAGUCAUAAUUUGACCGCGGAUGUCAUAAUAUGACCACAGAAUGUCAUAAUUUUUUUAGAAGAGAUGGAUUAUUUUAUCAUUCAAAAUUUUAAAUGAAAAAGUGGAACUGUAGACAUUAAAUACAUGUUGGAAAGCAGUAGCCACAUGGCCCAAUCAUGUGGGGCGAUGCAUUUUUCUACACCGAAUGUGGUGUACAAAGAAUUUCCCAUCUCAUAUUAUGGUGCUAGUAUAGAUAGAAAUUCUAUUAUUAAAUCUUUAGAUACAUGCCAUUAAAUCAUGCGUGACCUCUGCUGUUGUGUUUGCUGAUAAUAGAAUGCAUUUUUAUUUGUUGUACGACACAUCCGGCCAGUAGAUAAUAAUCCUGUUCUGGCACAUGCCAUGUCCAUUUUGCCAACUUAUUCGUAUUACGGAGGAUGUUUAUUGAGUUCUUCAUCAAGAUGCAUGUGUGGGAACCCUGUGGCCAUGUGCACGUGUGCUCUCACGUGUUAGGAUGUUUGGUUGCAUGUGUGAUCAUGUCUACAUGCAAAAUUGCGAACGUAUAUGUUCUUUCACACAUUUCUAAAUAUGCUGACAUACUUGCAUGUGUGCAUGGAUGCAUAUAUAUGUAUACAUGCAUGCAUGUAGCUCACACAGUGGAUUGACGAACUAACCAAGCUUCAUUCAGAAAAAUAUCAAAUUAUAAAAGAAUGUCUUAAUGAAUCAUUAAAUGAUAUGACAUGAGGUUGAAUGGAUUGAAUGAUGUGUCGUUGAUGCUUGAUGAGAGGUAGAAUGCAUUAGAUUAUUUGUCGGCAUGUUUAAUUAGAGGUCGCCCAAGGGAGUAAAUAUUUUCUUUACAGCAAUUUUAUUUUUAAAUUAAAAAUUUUAAUUUUUUUUAUUUUUUAUUUUUAAAAAAAUUUUAAAAGUUUAACCGCUCUCAUGGGAGACAAAUGUGGUUGGGGCUGGAAAUAUGACAGGUUGGAUUGGAUUAGUUCCGGGUUGAAUUGGGUUGUGAAAGUUCCGUCGUACCGUAUAAAUGAUUUAAGUUUUGGAAAAGAUUUCAAUUAUCCUUGGACCAAUACUAGAUUCUUAGGAUUUUAUUUAAGAAGAUGUUUGGUUUGUAACUGGAAUCAGAAUAGAAAUAGAAAUAGAAAUGGCUUAGAAUCAGAAUUGGAAUGGUCAAAUCUUCCGAAGCGUUUGGUUCGUGAUCGGAAUCGGAAUUGAAAUUGAAAUAAAAAUUUGAAUCCAUAAAGAAGAGUAAGAAUUGAGUUCUAUAUAAAUUGAGCCAUUCCCAUUCCAUCCUAAAAUCAGAAUCGGAAUGAGACUCCUCCCAACCAAAUGAUUAGAAUAGGAGUCAUCGAUUCGGAUUCCGAACCCUCACUCUUCCCAACCAAAUACUCCCUAAAUGUAUUUAUGCAAUUCUAUAACUUAAUAACAUAAAAGUUAUAGUUAAAUAUAAGUACAAAUUUCUUUCUUUAUUUAUUGGGUGGACUCAUGUUUGGUUAGGUGGAAUAUUGCAUCAAGAUUUGGUUUGUUGUGUUCAAGAUCAAACAUAAUCCCACAAUUUAAGUUGGAUUGGAUCAAGUUACAAUAACAAUAUGUGAAACCUUGAUCCAUGCUCGACCUAGCUAAUUAUUAGGUCAAGACCCAUUAACCUGUACUUACCCAUGGGUUGACUCUCAUGAUACAAUUUGACUUAUUUGAUCAUAAUUUAGGAUGGGAAAUGAAUUGGUUAGAUCAGGCGUGCUUGACCCUGACCUAACCUGAUUUUAUAUUCAGGUUAUGAUUUUGUACCCAAACUCAAUGCAAUAACAAAUCGAGUUGGAUAGGGUCUAUACAAAAAUUUUAGAUCCAAUAGGUCAUUCUAGUCGGGUUAGGAACAAGUAUAAUUUAGACCUAGAAUCAGGUCGGGAUUGGAUUGGAUCAUGUUUGCAAUUUGAAUCAAGCAUUAAGCUAUUCUUUUAUAGCUAAAAUAUUAUAAUUUAUAAUUACAUAAAAAUUCAUAAAAAAAUGCAAAUAGAGAGCGCUAACUUGAACUUAAAUUUUAUUCAAAAAAUUUAGUUUUAUCUAAAACUAUGAUGUCUAAAACUUGAACUUGAUCACUCAAUCUAAAACUAUGAUGUCUAAAAUAUAUAUUGAUAUACUUGAAAGCAUUAUAUAUAAAAAUUGACCGAAACAAAUAUGACAAUAUGAAUGGUUAAGUAUAAUUAAAGUGAAAAAAGAUAAGAGAAGGCAUAGUUGUUGACUUGCAAACAAGGAAUUAGUUUAAUUGAGAGUUUAUUAAAUGGAUUAGAAAAGAUAUUUCAAGUGAAGGAGAAGAAGAUCAUUUGGACUUUUGGGUCCAUGGGCCAGGUUAAAAAGUAUAGGACCCAAAGUUGACCCAAAAUUUAAAUCUGGUUCAAUUUUUGAACCCAACUCAAUCAACAAGUCCUCAAAUAUAGAUCGGAUUUUGAGUUUAAUAGGGUUGAAACCAGAUUGGGUCAUGGGUUGACCUGGCCAUUUAUAGUCUUAUCAUAAUUUAAUCUAAUUUGUAGGGCUUGAUCUAUUACCAGCUCAACCUAAUUAACCAAUCUAAGUUGAUAGUUAUACUUCAUACCUCAUCUUCCAUGAUAAAUUAAAUAAUGCUAUUAGAAAGAAAUAGCCACUCAUCAGAUUCUCAUCCGAGGUCAUGAUUCAACAUAACUUAAUUAUACUGUUCUCGCCCAAGUGGAACUCUACAUUGCUAACCUAAAUUAGAUUGAAGCUGUGACCCUACCUGGUCUGGUUCAAUUUUUGCUGACCUCAGAGCCCAAUCCGAAGUAACAUCUCAGCCCAACCUGGCCGAUCGAGCUGAUCAGGCUGGUUGCGUUUGGAUUAAACCCAACCUUGUUGCACAUUCAGUAGGAUUAGUGAUAUUUUUUGAUGAGAAGCCGGGUUAAAAAAUGAUUAAGAGUGGAGGGAUUUUAGAAAAUUCUGGUGAGAAAAUUAAGAAAGAUGGUUAAUGACUAAAAGAGCAUAUAUGACAUUGUUAGAUAAUCAUUAUAUAAAACAUCUCAUUAGUAAGUUAUGGGAUUAAUCGUGCCUAAGUUAUUCCAAAAAAUAUUUUGAUUGUCAGCAAUCAGCUAAUUAAAUCUUUAAUAUAUAAACAUAGAUUUUAAUGAUCCCAAGUAACUGACAUAUGAGACUGUAGUUAACAUUUUUGACACCUCCAAGAGAGUGUUUGGUUCGUAAUUAGAAUCGAAAUCGAAAUGUAGUAGAAUUGAAAUUGGAACGAUCAAAUCUUCUGAAGCAUUUAGUUUGCGACCGAAAUCAGAAUUGGAAUGAAAAUUUAAAUUCUUAGAAAAGAGUAGGGAUAAAGUUUUAGAUAAAUAGGAUCAUUUCCAUUCCAUCCAGAAUCGAAAUUAGAAUAGGACUCCUUCCAAUUAAAUGAUUAGAAUGAAAGUCUCAUUCUAAUUUCAGAUCCCAACUCUCCGCAAACAAACACCCCCUAAAUAUCAAGAUAUCAAAUAAUCAUAAUGGUUUCUGCGUUCCAAUUAAUCUAUCAAGUCAUAAGCCUUCUAUCUAUGUCGUUGGCUUCUUUAUCCUAUCUCCAAGGGCCUUCUUAAGAAGAUACCUAAAAGGGUGAGCUACCAUGAGAAUAAAACAUCGAUCACAGUGCCAUCUCCACUACCUAAAGAACCAGUAGUCCCAGCACGAGAGCUCUUAUCUCCAAUUAUUUCCUUCAAUAUAUUUUUGUCUUCACCUUCACAAACUAAUGUUUGUGAUCUGUGUGCCCUAUACAAUGGUCCCUUCCCUUAAAACAAGCGACUGUAGGACGUGUUCUAUAUAGCUUUUUGAAAAGAUGAAGGAGAGAGACAAUUUUUGGGAAGUUGAAGGGGAGAGGCAACAAAAAGACUUGAGCAUGCGCAUGUCUUCAAUGUUCCACCUUGAAUUAAGAUAUUCUAAAUAUAUGAAACGGUCCAAGGAAGUGGACCCAUCGUCUCAUUCCUGUGAAGCACCUUAGCAAGCAACCUUUGGCUUCUAAAAACUUGUUUUCCUGGAAAACUUUUCAACGAGGACACCUCAAUGGCCCGAACACCUCCUCUUCUUCAUGCUUGCCCGAAUAGUUUAGUCUAUUUAUUUGUACGACCCUUCAAUCCCCAUGCACGUAUGUACCUUCCUAGUUGGUAUUGGGGUUUUCACCCAAUCAUUGCCCAUCACAUCUCUUCAAGUGGUCUUCAUCAGACCUCACUUCCUGCCAAUUUUCCAACCCAGAAUGCCAUCAAACACCACAAUCACUAUAGCCCACCAUUGCUUAUAAAUACCCUUCCUCAACUUAUCUCACCACAUCAAAGAAUGAAUUAAGAUGGCAUUCUUCUCCUUCAAAACAACCACCAUCUCUCUUUUAAUUCUUCUCCUCCAUGCUCUCACCUUAUUCUCCCAGUGUCAUGCAUCUAAACAUAAAGAUCAUCAUGGGUCACUGGUUUUAGGCCUGACCCAUUCCAGAGUCCUCUCUCCAUCGUCAGUGGCAGCAAGAGGCUUGAAGCCACUCGAGGUCUUGGACAUGAUGGAACCACUUAGAGGAUUCCAAGAUGGCUAUCUCAUUUCCUUGAACUUAGGGACACCACCCCAAGUCAUUCAAGUGUACAUGGACACUGGAAGUGACCUCACCUGGGUCCCCUGUGGGAAUAUCUCUUUUGAAUGCAUGGAGUGUGAUGAUUAUUGGAACCACAAACUAGUGGCCACCUUCUCUCCCUCCUACUCUUUUUCAUCCAUUAGAGAUACUUGCACCAGCCUCUUCUGCACCAACGUCCACAGCUCCGACAAUCCUUACGACCCAUGCGCAAUGGCCGGGUGCUCCAUUGGCAGCCUUGUGAGGGGCACCUGCCCCAGACCCUGCCCUUCCUUCUCCUACAAUUAUGGAGCAGGGGGUUUGAUCAUUGGGAGCCUCACAAGGGACACUCUUAGGGUACAUGGGGGUGAUCCACUUGUGCUAAGAGAGACACCAAGCUUCUGCUUUGGGUGUGUGGGUUCCACAUACAGGGAACCCGUUGGGAUUGCAGGCUUCGGAAAGGGUGCACUCUCCCUUCCCUCACAGCUUGGUUUCCUUCAGAAGGGCUUCUGUCAUUGCUUUUUGGGGUACAAGUUUGCCAACAAUCCAAACAUCACUAGUCCUUUGGUUAUAGGGGACCUUGCCAUCUCCUCCAAAGAGGACCAUCAGUUCACACCGAUGUUAAAGAGUCCCAUAUAUCCAAAUUCCUACUAUGUUGGCCUAGAGGGUAUUAGUGUUGGCAAUGGGACCAUAAUUGAAGGUCCCUUGAACUUGAGAUCCUUUGAUUUGGAGGGGAAUGGGGGAACGUUGAUCGACUCGGGGACGACUUACACCCAUCUCCCCGAGCCAUUUUAUUCACACUUAUUAUCAGAGUUAGGAUCAAGGAUAACAUACAUGAGAUCAAAUGAACUUGAGGAGAGAACUGGGUUCGAUCUAUGUUACAAGAUUCCUUGCUCAAAUAUCUCUUGCUCAGAUGAUCUACCUACCAUUACAUUACAUUUUUUGAAUGGUGUGACGCUCACAUUGCCUAAGGAGGACUGCUUCUAUGCUGUGAGUGCUCCAAAGGACUCUCUAGUAGUGAAGUGCUUACUAUUUCAGAUGAUGGAUGAUGACUAUGGACCAGCUGGUGUUCUUGGGAGCUUCCAGCAGCAAAAUAUAGAGGUUGUCUAUGAUUUAGAGAAGGAGAGGAUUGGGUUUCUUCCAAUGGACUGUGCUUCCUCUGCUGCACACUAUGGGCUCCAUCAGAAGUAGUUCUUUGUUUUAGAGGUCUGUUUGUUUGUGUUUAGAUGUUUCUGAGUUGGAAUAAAUAAAGCUCCUUUAAUGGGCUUGGAUGGAUUAAGGUUGAUGAGUUGGACAUAUCCUUUUGUUUGGUAUUGGAGAACUACACUAUAAAAGUUGUGAGGAUGAUGUAAUCUGUUAAAUAAAUCAUUUUUCUUCUAAAAGCAUUCAAUCAUUCAUCAUUGUGGGGUUGGUUUCAACUAAGUAGUCACAGGGGAAUCAAAUUAUUUGGCAGUUGCUAUGUAUGGCACUAGUACAUCAGUUAAUCCAUCCCUUUCUGACCUUACUUUUCUUUUAAUAAAUAUUAACUAUGGUUUAACUUUUGUAACCAACUUGCAAGCCUGUGUGUUAAAGUGUGAUCCAAUGAAUAAAAUAGAAUAUCUGCUCAAUUUGAGUAGUUAUUUAACAACUUAACGAUCUUGUUAUCUUUGCAGAUCUUCAGAUAGAACUCACCAAAUGCAUAACAACAAGCCUAAAAAUUUCCAACUACUUUUACUUCGAAACGUGGACCAAAUGAACAAGAAGCACCAUGAAAUCGUGCAGUUUGGGAUGAUGAUGGCUUAUUGUUGUGGGUGUAAUGUAUUGAGUUUUGUUAAACUCCCCCAAAGUUAAUACCAUUUAUCUUCUGAUGUUGUUAGCUCAAACAAGAUGAUUAGCAAAACUAUUUUACCAUUUGAUUCGAUAUACAAAUCAACCCAUUAAUUAACCAUAUGCUAAUUGAAUCCAACAUAUUAGUCCAUAGAAGGUAAUUGAUGUUCAUUUCCUAACGAAUUGGGAAUAUAUGAUAAUCCUUUAGAUCAGAACUAUUGACUGCCAAGUAAUUCAAAAUUUGUGAUUUCUUAUUACUGAAUCUAAUUUGGUCCAUCACCGUGUGUGAUGGAACUUGCAGACCUUGUCCUGUUCUACUUUUUCCCUUUGAUGUUAUUUGAGCUGGCAUCAUCCUUCACUCUUACUUUUUAUGCAUCUAAUGAGUCUAGCAAUGCACAUAAAGUCUCACCGUGCUCAUCUCUUCAAGGCUUCAAGCUAUCGAGAAAAAUUUUCACUUCCCGAGUUGUCACCUACCUAAAACUAAAAUAUUUGUGACCAUCAUGAUCAGUUUUGUUCUUCAAUCUUGAGACUUGACAUGGUUCAGCAGUGUAUAAUGAAAUCAGACAGAUCCCAAGGGAACAGAGAUUUAAAGCUCUUAAAGGACAGAGAGACAGUAUGCACAAGUUCGAGCACUUCUUUCUGAGUCUUGAAAAAUUAAUUUGGCAAACCUUCAUGAAGUUUCAACUCCCACGUCUGCUGGCACGGCAAAAUUUAAAGUCUAUGUUGAAAGAUGAUAUUAUGGAUGGCAACAUGGAAGGACUGGAAAUGAAGUAAAAAGCAUAAAUCAGCAUGUUAUGGUCCACUCAAAAUACUUGCAACUAGCAUGGUAACUUCUAAUACUUGCACCAUGCUAUUCUGAGAGUUCUCUUUCAAGUAUCUUUAAACAAAUCAAAACGUUUUGGAGGCCUAACCUUUCAACCCUUGCAAAAGGAUGACCAAUAGAUGAAGUCUGAAAUAUGAAGAAUUCCCAUAAAUGUAGUUCUCAAAAGUUUAAUACAAAGCCAUGUUGGAAUCUUUGGCUGGAGUGCAGUUCUUAAAACAAUAAAAAUCUAGUAUUCACAGUAAAAAAUAUGGGAAAUGCGGAUCAUGAGCAGAGAAAAUAGUUGUGGAGCCGGUGGCUGUUCACCUCAGAUAUUUUUGUUUGGUAACUUUAAUGGAUCACUUGACUAGUGAGUUGGUGAUGGGCACUAAGAGCAGCAAGAAGUGGUAUUGACAGAUCUUGCAGCUGGUCUAUCUGUGAGAAUCAUUCCUUGAGGGUUCUGUAGUGGUUGAGACUGGAGCAAUCUCUUUGCUGAAAUGAAAAAAAGACAAACAGCUUUAGCCCAGAUGUUUAUCAUUUUGUUUAAAAACAAAGAAAAAUAUUGAGGUCCAGCCACACGUCAGAACCGGACCACCUAUUCGAUAAUCAAGAAUUUAGAUUAGUGGCAAUCAGUGAUGUGAACAAUAAAUCUGUCUAUUGACACUGACAUCUACCUUCACAGGUGCUUCACAGAUCACUCCUUCAGGGUACAGUACGUCUAGAAAUUUUUAACAUGAGAAAUAGCUCGUGAUGGACGAACAAACCACAUGAGAAAAGAAAGUUUAUAACCCAUGGAACACAGUUGAAAGAUCAUGCUACAGGUAUUGGAUAAUUAUGGCCUUCUGUUUCAAAUAGUUUAAUGCAGAAGUUUUGACUUUCAGAGGCGCAUUUACAUCAAAAAGGAAGGUUACCAUUUCCCCAAUAGAUUCCAUGCCUGAAGGUGGGAGGAGCCGUUUUACAGCUUAUACAAUCACAUGCAGCCAAUUGAUAGUAAAGAAAGUUAUAUUAUCCUUAUCCAAAAAAGGAAAGUUAUACCAAGUAUUUGGUGUUGCAUGAGCUACCAUGAAACCUAAGUUGACUAAUGUUCGGAGCACAUGUUUGUGCGAAUGUGUGCAUGUGCACCCAGUGAAUAACAUGCUAAAAGUUAGAAACCUUUUACGUUGAAUCAAUACUGAAAGGAGCAGCAGCAAAAGACUUACCAAUUUCAUAGAAUAUGUCAUUGACAUUGGUUGCUGUUUUAGCAGAAGUUUCCAUGAAGAAAAGGCCAUUCUCCUGAGCAUAUGUUUGGGCUUCCUAAAAUAACAAGGACAGCAGCAAAGUUAUAAUCAAGCUAAAUCAUGUUCUGAAAAAGAAAUAGAUGUACGGGAAGAGUUCAAGCUAAUAAAUGAGAUAAAGUAUAUUUCUAUUCAAAGUAUAUUUAGAUCUAUGCAUCCAUUUGAUCGGCUAAAAUACACAAUCUCAUAGGUACCACUGAAUGGCCAUAAGAGAAUAAAUAAGUUUGGUGAUAAUGUGCUAUAUUUUUGGAUGACACAAAAGAAGUGGAUCCUUCUGAAUCACAGUUCAGUUAAUAUCACUAAAAGUUCAGGCAGUUACCAGGUUGCUCAAAAGCAGUGCGCCUUGAUGGCCAGUCUCCAUUAAAUCCUUUAUAUCCCAGUACUAGAUGGCCAGCUAAUCAAGGUAAUGCAACUAAAAUUGGAUCAGCUAUAAUUAUUUGAGUUAUACGCUCUAACUGUUAACGCUGAGGUUAGUGGUGCAAGUGGAUCAGAUAACAUCCAUCCGCAUCCAUCUUUAUAUCUGAAUCUAUUUGGUUAUGGAUACAAAUUUGAGCAUCUGACUAAUAUUCAUAUCCAUAUUCAUAUCAGUCAAAAAAAAGGGAUAUAGAUUAUGGAUAUAGCUAAACAUUAAACAUCUACUCAACCCUAAUUCGAAUAUUUGGUUAUAUUUGUAAUUCUAUUCAUCUUGUAUGGCACUCAUGAACUUUUAGAGGAAAUCAAUGACCAUACCAACAAGCAACCAACUUAAUUUCCCUUCUAUUCAAAGAUAUCUUCAAUUUUCAGUUACAAAGUUCACUAUUGGACUUAUAACCAUAUUCAUAUCCAUAUUUUCAAUAUUCAAUAUGUAUCCAUAUCCAUUUGAAGCAAAUAAGGAUAUGAAUUUUUGCAUCCAAUUAAUAUCCUAUGCGUAUCCUUUUUGUCAAUAUAAAUGGAUUAUCCAAUCUGCAUUCGAUCCAUUUUCAGCCCUACCUGAGGUCCUGAAUGCUAGACCAUCAAAUGGAAAUAUCAAAUAAAAUCCAUAGAACAAGUUCUUAUGAAGUGCAAAAGUUGUGAUUAAUAGAGUAAUUAUCAGGAAUUAUCAUUAUAUUGAUGUUUUACUCAUUUUUGUGGAAGUAUGACAUCACAACCAACCGUUAAUCCUGAUUCUUGCAUGCUAGACCAUCAAACAAGCAGUUUUCAGGAAUGGCAGAAUUUGUCACUCAUAGUCACUGGCAGGAAUUAUCAUUAUAUUGAUGUUUCAUUCAUUUUAUAUCUAAGUAUGACAUUUUGCCACCAAGAAAUUAAUUUUCAGCAGGCUGGCUAACUGUCAACUCAGCAACCAUAGGAUAAUGAUGCCCACUGCAAAACUGAUCACAGCAUUCCCAAGCAAUGGUAGCAGAAAAAAGGUUGAGAUAUUAAUAAUAUAUAUGACAGAAGCAUAACUGCUCUGCUGAAACUAAAUCUUAUGUGGGGGUAAAUUAUUGAGUAAAGCAUCAUAUAAGAGCGUAAAUCAUGGAGAGAAGCAUUCCAGCCAAGUGAAAAUAUUGAAGCGCAGCAAAUGAAUUGAGGGUCCUAGAAAAUGAUGGCCCGUCAUAUGGCAAUCAAAAAAAUAGGACGUGGUUGAGAGCCAAAAUAUUUUUGACUUGCAUAACCUUGCAAACUGAUCAUGGUAACAACAGGACAUGGACUUCUGAGUCAAGUCACAGGAAGACUUGGCUGAUACCAUUCAUGCAAGUGUCACAGACUAGACCUAAGGCCACAAAGGUGGAACAGUUUAGGCACAUAGUUAAGCAGCCCCUGGAGGUAACAAUGGUGAUGCUGUGAUACUAGACAGGAUAUUAGAGACUCAAACUGGCACUUAGUCAAGCUAAGGAAAAACAGCACUGGCCCUUUUACCUUUGCAGGCAUGGAAAUUGAUGGAUAAGUCUUACCUCAACUAACAGAAGAAAAGUAGGACAUGUUAAGCAGUCAAACGGAUAGUCAUGAUCCAUGGUCCACACCAAAUUUUAACAUUUUUAGGUUAUUAAAUUAACUUUAUAAAAAUGAUAUUACUGCAAUUGGUAAGGUUAAGCAAACAAAAUAAUAAGAGCAGCUCAUUUGGAAAAAAUUUCAGAAUUUUGGCAUAUUGCUUGAAAGGUGCUGCAGCAAAUUUCUUCCCAAAAAAUUGUCAGUGAUACCAUAACUCCCAAAAUUUCUCCAUGCGUCACUUUCUUCCAUUCUUUCUCUCCAACUCUUUCUGUUGCAAAUAACAUAUUUUCGGCAUGUUUCUCUUCUGUAUCUCAUAGUAUAAUCCAAUUCUUGGCGAUACUCCUACCAUAUUUUCCUUUCUUUCUUCUCUUUCAAACAUAUGAUUUGAUAUGGUUUCUUCAUCCAACAAAUGAAGGGUGUCGAUUAAUGUUUUAUGCGAAUCAAGAAUCUUAAAACAAGCCAAAUACUUGGGUGAAGUUGGAAGAGAAACAACCAUAAGUGAGCAAGAUGAGUUGGAGAGCUCGCAAUUUUGUUUUCUUUUUUUUUUUCUUUUGAGCUUAGGUAGCAUUUUUAACAGCUUGAGAAAACAAAACUAAACUAUGGUCAAUUAAAACAAGAUCAUUAAUGAUUGACAAGUAAUCUGGGGCCCAUAUGGAGUUUCAGAGUGCCUAUCUGGUGAGCCAAUCAGUAACCUAAUUGGCUUCCCUGUAUACAUCAGAGAUUAGCAAUGUCAAGCAAUCCAUGAAGGAUGAUGCAAGCAUCACUUGGAUAGGGUAAGGCCUGUUAUUGUUUCUCUAGAAUUGCUCCAAAAAAUUGAUGACAACUUAGAGUGCAGUACCAUGAAGAUCUAAGGACAUGAUCCAGAUCUCUUCCCAUGACAACAAUUUCAGAUUGAUUGCAAACAUUAUAGAGAAGUUGCACCACAUGAUCAGCCUUGAGAAUGCAGCCUCAAGGAAGAUUUGCCAUACUAGCAUGUACCAUAUCAUACCAAUACCAAAAUGAGACUUGGUACAGAAGGCGUAUCAGCCUCAAAAACAAUGAAGUCAGCAUCCCCAAGUAAGGUACCAGGGUAAUUGCACCAUCAAAAGCCUAGCUUGACAUAAGGAUUACCUGGGGGCACCCAUUUAAGGAGAGCAGGGGAUCACAGGACACAGUCUAUGAGGCUGAGACACCACAGGAACAAACCUUGACAGGUCACUUUUGAGAAACAACAGCACAUGUUUUCAAAUUGCCGUAGUUUUUGAUGGCUAAGUUGCUGGAGGUCUGAAUAGUUAGUUGCAGUGGGCAUCACUAUCCUUGGAAGAAGAAGAAGUCAUUCCCAUCUUUCUAGGAAACAGGGAAUCAAGGAAAGCUUCCAAAGAUCCAGCUUCAAGCAGUUUGACAGCAUAGCUAAGGAUAACACAAGGGAUUGGGAAAAGGGGGAAAUAAGAACUGAUGUAUCCAACAGCUAGAACAUGUUGAGUAGAUAAACAGCACAUGACAUCAGUUGAACAAAGCCAAGAAAAUCCCAGAAGAGUCAAUCCUCCUACCAUAUGUCCAUACUAAGCCAAGAAAUACCCAAGAGAGGGGUCAAAGCCAUGCAGGCAAAGCUUAGCUGAACUAGGAUUGCUACCACCCCCUAAUAUCACUGCGCAUAGUGCUCAUUCAAUCCUCUAGGAAAGCCAAUAGGUCUAUGGUCUACCUAACUUCUACAUGCUAUUGUUGUUACUUGAAAGAAACCUAAUAGAUUAGCUUGUCCAAUUACCAAUACCUCAUUCCUAGACAUCAACAGAUCCAGUGAAGUGUAUGAACUAAACUUUUCACAUAAUAACACAAGCACAUGGCAUGUGUCAAUGGUUUGUGUAAGCAAAGAUGUGGUAGCAAAUGUUCCAAAUUCAAAAGAAUUAAAAGACAAAAAGAUUAUGUACCAGAAAAAAAAGACAAAAAGAUUAGGACUUGCCUCUGCAGACACCUGCCUGGCUUCUAAUAAAUCAGCUUUGUUUCCAGCAAGAGCCAUUAUUGUGCUUGGGUUACCUGAAACAAUAUAAAUAAUCAUUAAUAACUCUGGAGUCAACAUAUUGCAAUUGAUUGUGACCAUCCUAGGAAGUAAAAAUCAAUAAAAUAAGUCUCAUAGUACACUGGCAUCUCUCCAGAGGUCCCAAAUAUUGCACCUAAUAGCCACAUCACAAAUAGUACAUCCUUUUAUUUUCAGCAACCAAACAAGCAGUCCUUUGAUCAAAAAUACAGUUUUGAAUUUUUCAAGGAAAGCAUUUGAAAGAUCUUCAGUAAAGGAAGAAAAUUAAUAUCCAACGGAGCAAAGCACACCCCUCCGGAAAAACACAUGCACAUGUAAACAUAUAAUGGAGUAUAAACACCCACCCACCCACACACACCCCACGAGAGAGAGAGAGAGAGGAGGAGUGGAGGGGAGGGAGGGAGGUGACUAAGUUNNNNNNNNNNNNNNNNNNNNNNNNNNNNNNNNNNNNNNNNNNNNNNNNNNNNNNNNNNNNNNNNNNNNNNNNNNNNNNNNNNNNNNNNNNNNNNNNNNNNNNNNNNNNNNNNNNNNNNNNNNNNNNNNNNNNNNNNNNNNNNNNNNNNNNNNNNNNNNNNNNNNNNNNNNNNNNNNNNNNNNNNNNNNNNNNNNNNNNNNNNNNNNNNNNNNNNNNNNNNNNNNNNNNNNNNNNNNNNNNNNNNNNNNNNNNNNNNNNNNNNNNNNNNNNNNNNNNNNNNNNNNNNNNNNNNNNNNNNNNNNNNNNNNNNNNNNNNNNNNNNNNNNNNNNNNNNNNNNNNNNNNNNNNNNNNNNNNNNNNNNNNNNNNNNNNNNNNNNNNNNNNNNNNNNNNNNNNNNNNNNNNNNNNNNNNNNNNNNNNNNNNNNNNNNNNNNNNNNNNNNNNNNNNNNNNNNNNNNNNNNNNNNNNNNNNNNNNNNNNNNNNNNNNNNNNNNNNNNNNNNNNNNNNNNNNNNNNNNNNNNNNNNNNNNNNNNNNNNNNNNNNNNNNNNNNNNNNNNNNCCACCACACACCACGAGAGAGAGAGAGAGAGAGAGGGAGUGAGGGAGGGAGGGAGGUGCAAUUGAGGAUCCUUCUAGAGCAGCUUCAUCAUAGAUGAAAAAAAGUAGCACUAAAGGAUAUUGGAUAGAUCUUAUUGGUGACAACAUAUCAGAUAAUACUAUCAGAAUUCUAAAAGAAUUAGCCACCUCAAUAAAAAAAUAAAGGUUCUACCUUGGGCUUGAAGUUCUUGAACCCAUUUCUUUGCUCGCGUGAAUGUAGCCUGCAACAAAAAUUUUGGGAAUCUUUAAAACACAUAUAAACUACCCCACUUCUAAAAGAAGUUCCUAUUCCAUAAACAUUAUAUUAAGUCUUUUUUCCCUUCCUAAAAAUGGAUAUGGGAUCCCUACUACAUAAUUCCUCAAUUCUUGCCUUUCUUAAUUCUUGUGUCACAUAUCCAUGUGCACAGAUUUCAUGGUCCAUUUUCUUAGAUUAUCAUCACGUUAAAACCAAGAAACUCAAAAGCAUUUGCACAUUACCUAUCCUAAGCAUAACUUAAAUUACUUAUUUCCUUAUGCUUGCCUUGCAUAAGCCCCAUGUCACAUGUCCAUCUGUAAAGAUCUUGUGGUGUAUUUUCUUGUAACAUCAGCACUUCAAAGCAAGGAAAACACUAAGGAGCAUUUGGUCAUUUCUUGUCCUAAGCAUUUAGUUGGAGACUAACAUCAAAAAGAGACUCUUCAUGGCACAUAAAAAGAAAAAUAAACAUCAAAAAAGAAAUUUCGCCCAUGACAAGUUCCAAUUGAACCCGAUCCUCAUUCAGAUAAAGAUCAUGCCUUGAAAAGUUCACUUCCUAAGAUUCAUAAAAUGUUUGGACCAACCUGUAUGAUUUUUUUUGAUGAUGGAUGGAUCCAUGGUUUUGUGCUGAAUUCUUCACCAAUAUCUUGUGGCAUGUAUUUCUUUUCUUGUUACACUGCACCCUUUUUUUACCACCUCGAUAUAGAAUGUUUAAGAAAUGGAAAGCUGACUUUAUAUUUGAGAAUCUUAGGAUGUUGACAUCUCAAACACUAAGUCAUCAUGUGUCUUUAGCAAAAGUCAAAUAUAACUCAAAACUUUCAAGCAUUCUUUAAGGAAUUUAAACCCAAGGAAUUAUUUGAUCCUUCUUUAACCAGGCUUUUUUUUUCUUUGAUAUAUUCACAUAUACUAGUGUUUGAAUGGGUUUUUACCUUAUAAAUCCUUUUGCUUAUAUUUUGUUUUAUUUUUUCUUACAUUAAAGAAAUGACAAUUAAACUCAGUCCUAAGGGUACAAGGAAAAAUGCAUUUAUAACAGUUAUCAUCAGGAUGAUAGAAUAGAUAAAACUUCAUCAUAAAAUAGCUCUGACAGAGUCAUAUCAAGAUUUGCUAA